CACCGCGGUUAUACGAGAGGCCCAAGUUGACAGACAUCGGCGUAAAGAGUGGUUAAGGAACCAUCAUACUAAAGCCGAACACCCGCAGAACUGUUAUACGUUCCCGAGGGUAGGAAGCCCUACCACGAAAGUGGCUUUAAUCCACACCUGACCCCACGAAAGCUGUGAAA
rnacentral:rRNA from 1 species